rnacentral:rRNA from 1 species
GACGAACGCUGGCGGCAUGCUUAACACAUGCAAGUCGAACGGAAAGGCCCUGCUUUCGUGGGGUGCUCGAGUGGCGAACGGGUGCGUAACACGUGUGUAACCUGCUCUUCUCUUUGGGGUAACUUCAGGAAGCUGGGGUUACUAUCGGAUAGGAGCUCCUGUUGCAUGGUGGGCGUUGGAACGUUUCGGCGGUUGGGGAUGGAUUCGCGGCUUAUCAGCUUGUUGGUGGGGUAGUGGCUUACCAAGGCUUUGACGGGUAGCCGGCCUGAGAGGGUGACCGGCCACAUUGGGACUGAGAUACGGCGCAGACGCCUACGUGGGGCAGCAGUGGGGAAUAUUGCACAGUGGGCGGAAGCCUGAUGCAGAGACGCCGGGGGCGGGAUGACGGCCUGCGGGUUGUGAACCGCUGUCGCCUGUGACGAAGCGGGAGUGACGGUAAUGAGAAAAGAAGCACCGGCUAACUACGUG